GCAUACUCCUACAGCACUAACAGUCUGCAUACUCCCACAGCACUAACAGUCUAUAUACUCCCACAGCACUAACAGCAUGCAUACUCCCACAGCAUUAACAAUCUGCAUACUCCCACAGCAUUAACAGUCUGCAUACUCCUACAGCAGCAACAGUCUGCAUACUCCCACAGCACUAACAGUCUGCAUACUCCCACAGCACUAACAGUCUGCAUACCCUUACAGCACUAACAAUCUGCAUACUCCCACAGCACGAACAAUCUGCAUACUCACACAGCACCAACAGUCUGCAUACUCCCACAGCAUUAACAGUCUGCAUACUCCCACAGCACUAACAAUCUGCAUACUCCUACAGCAGUAACAGUAUGCAUACUCCCACAGCACUAACAGUCUGCAUACUCCUACAUCAGUAACAGUCUGCAUACUCCUACAGCAGCAAAUGUCUGCAUACUCCUACAGCAGUAACAGUCUGCAUACUCCCACAGCACUAACAGUCUGCAUACUCCUACAGCAGUAACAGUCUGCAUACUCCCACAGCACUAACAGUCUGCAUACUCCCACAGCACUAACAGUCUGCAUACUCCCACAGCACUAACAGUCUGCAUACUCCUACAGCACUAACAGUCUGCAUACUCCCACAGCACUAACAGUCUGCAUACUCCCACAGCACUAACAGUCUGCAUACUCCCACAGCACUAACAGUCUGCAUACUCCCACAGCACUAACAGUCUGCAUACUCCUACAGCAGUAACAGUCUGCAUACUCCUACAGCAUUAACAGUCUGCAUACUCCCACAGCUGCAUUAACAAUCUGCAUACUCCCACAGCAUUAACAGUCUGCAUACUCCUACAGCAGCAACAGUCUGCAUACUCCUACAGCACUAACAGUCUGCAUACUCCCACAGCACUAACAGUCUACAUACUCCCACAGCACUAACAGUCUGCAUACUCCCACAGCACUAACAGUCUACAUACUCCCACAGCACUAACAGUCUGCAUACUCCCACAGCACUAACAGUCUACAUACUCCCACAGCACUAACAGCCUGCAUACUCCUACAGCACUAACAGUCUGCAUACUCCCACAGCACUAACAAUCUGCAUACUCCUACAGCAGUAACAGUCUACAUACUCCCACAGCACUAACAGUCUACAUACUCUCACAGCACUAACAGUCUGCAUACUCCUACAGCAGUAACAGUCUGCAUACUCCCACAGCACUAACAGCCUGCAUACUCCCACAGCACUAACAGUCUGCAUAGUCCUGCAGCACUCACAGGAGGGAGAUAGUCCAUUUGUCAUCUCGGGGCACGGUUUGAUUCCCAAAUGGUGGGUCAUGGUGGUUCUUCCUAUAUGGUAUAGAACUUGUGGCUUGAAACAUUGGUUUUAUUCACUUGGCAAGUCUCAAGAGAAGGUCACUUGAACCAAUCAUGUCUUACAAAGGCCUGAUAAAGACGUAAGACCUUUAAAAUACCUACAUAAAUGCUUUUGUAUAUACGAAAAUGUCAUAGAGAUAAGCGUUUUUCAGCACAACACACUAUGGGAGCCGUGGCUACACAUGUAGCUCUAAGAUUGUGUGUUCAUGGGAAAUGUUCUCUGAAACCACACAUUUUCACUCAGUCUAGCUGAUUCAUAAUACUCUACAUUCCAUUUUAGAGUAUCAGAGGAAGACUCAUGUACCAAUACAUUACAUAAAACAGGGAUUGUUUUUCCACUAUUUAUAAUUUGGCAGAUGCGUCACAUAGAGAAAAUGUUUGUGUGGCCAACUUUCAUGUUCAAUGAAGAACAUCUGGGAUUGGGAGCACUCUGUCUAGGAUGUGUUGGAAAUGUACAGAUUCAGAAAUAGACAAACCCUAAUUGGGCUUUCUAAAUGAAGGAAUGUGUUUACGUCAAGAACAAACAAAUUGUUACAAAAAUUCUAGAAAGAUCAUGACAUAGUCAAAUGUAAUCAGUAUUUGGUUCUUUGGUCCGUUGUAUAAUCUGGGUUAUCACCACAAAAUGUUCUCAAGAAACUUGAUCGCACCGUGUCAAAUGACGUAUUUGUUUCAUUGUGGUUGCUGCCAUUUUCAAACCACUAACAAGGAGGGAGGGGGUUGUUUGGCUCCUUGCUCUCUGGCCUUCCAUGGACAUCUAUAUUCUAUAUUGUCUUGGCAGUAUUUCCUCAUUUUCUACAGCUUGGCAACCAAGCUUUUGGCGCCCAUUGUGAAGCUGUGACAUCUGAUUUAGAGGAUUUUGGGACAGGAAAUGUCCCAGUGUUUCCUUGAUUCCUCCUAACGAGGAUGAUUGAUGUCAUGUUACGUCCGUGCUGAUGCUGUGAACUCCAUUGUUUCAGCGAACAGCUGAUGUUCUGUCCGACGACAAUAGGGACAUUGAACCGAUAUGGGAGGAUAAUUUACUCAAUGAUCUCUAUUAGCAGGCUAUAUCCAGUAUUUUGGCCCGCUGAACUUAAUGCAUUUGGGAACUAGCUUAGUUUGAGUGUAGUUCGCUGCCAGCUAUUUAGUGUGAAUCUAUAAUUUUGCUUGUGUGUGGAGAGAGGAGUCUUGGUAUCAAGGGAAAGACAGGCACACUGUAGAAUAGACUGAGCAAUGAGCCGUCUGUGAUAAUACAGAGGGCUGUAAAUGUGAAUUGUGAGAUGUACUGUAAAUGUGAAUUGUGAGAUGUACUGUAAAUGUGAAUUGUGAGAUGUACUGUAAAUGUGAAUUGUGAGAUGUACUGUAAAUGUGAAUUGUGAGAUGUACUGUAAAUGUGAUGAUUGUUUCUAGAUGAACGGUCAUGUUGAAAUCCCGGCAAAAAGUCCAGACAGCACUCGAUUAGCAGUCCCUAAUAAAAGUCUUACAGACAAUCCAACAU